GGCUUAAGCUCAGUGAUAGAGCAUCUGCUUUGCAUGCAGAAGGCCCCAGCUUCAAUUCCUGGCAUCACCA